ACGCUGGCGGCGUGCUUAACACAUGCAAGUCGAACGCUGAAGCUUGGUGCUUGCACUGGGUGGAUGAGUGGCGAACGGGUGAGUAAUACGUGAGUAACCUGCCCUUGACUCUGGGAUAAGCCUGGGAAACUGGGUCUAAUACUGGAUAUGACCUCCUGUCGCAUGGUGGGGGGUGGAAAGGGUUUGUACUGGUUGUGGAUGGGCUCACGGCCUAUCAGCUUGUUGGUGGGGUAAUGGCCUACCAAGGCGACGACGGGUAGCCGGCCUGAGAGGGUGACCGGCCACACUGGGACUGAGACACGGCCCAGACUCCUACGGGAGGCAGCAGUGGGGAAUAUUGCACAAUGGGCGCAAGCCUGAUGCAGCGACGCCGCGUGAGGGAUGACGGCCUUCGGGUUGUAAACCUCUUUCAGCACGGAAGAAGCGAAAGUGACGGUACGUGCAGAAGAAGCGCCGGCUAACUACGUGCCAGCAGCCGCGGUAAUACGUAGGGCGCAAGCGUUGUCCGGAAUUAUUGGGCGUAAAGAGCUCGUAGGCGGUUUGUCGCGUCUGCUGUGAAAGCCCGGGGCUUAACCCCGGGUGUGCAGUGGGUACGGGCAGACUUGAGUGCAGUAGGGGAGACUGGAACUCCUGGUGUAGCGGUGAAAUGCGCAGAUAUCAGGAAGAACACCGAUGGCGAAGGCAGGNNNNUGGGCUGUUACGA
rnacentral:rRNA from 1 species